rnacentral:tRNA from 1 species
GCAGUGGUGGUUCAGUGGCAGAAUUCUGGCCUUCUGUGCAGGAGACCUGGGUUCGAUUCUCAGGCAAUGCA